rnacentral:rRNA from 1 species
GACGAACGCUGGCGGCGUGCCUAAUACAUGCAAGUAGAACGCUGAAGAGAGGAGCUUGCUCUUCUUGGAUGAGUUGCGAACGGGUGAGUAACGCGUAGGUAACCUGCCUUGUAGCGGGGGAUAACUAUUGGAAACGAUAGCUAAUACCGCAUAACAAUGGAUGACACAUGUCAUUUAUUUGAAAGGGGCAAUUGCUCCACUACAAGAUGGACCUGCGUUGUAUUAGCUAGUAGGUGAGGUAAUGGCUCACCUAGGUGACGAUACAUAGCCGACCUGAGAGGGUGAUCGGCCACACUGGGACUGAGACACGGCCCAGACUCCUACGGGAGGCAGCAGUAGGGAAUCUUCGGCAAUGGGGGCAACCCUGACCGAGCAACGCCGCGGGAGUGAAGAAGGGUUUCGGAUCGUAAAGCUCUGUUGUAAGUCAAGAACGGGUGUGAGAGUGGAAAGUUCACACUGUGACGGUAGCUUACCAGAAAGGGACGGCUAACUACGUG